rnacentral:rRNA from 1 species
GAGCCCGUGAAUCUGGGCGGCGGAAUUCAGAGUUGACUGGCGCGCUUUYGUGGUGUGUCGGGCUGUUUGAUAUUUCCGUCGCCGCGUAGACGUCGCGACCUGUUCGAUGUCGGUCCUUGCUCGGAGGAACCGCGGGCGAGUUCAGUGCGGGGCGCAUUUCGGUGUGCUUUCGCGGUGAAGYCGCGGACUUCUGGCCGACUUGUCGGACAGUAAGCGGAACGGUGUCCGGUGUCCGCUACCUUCGGUGCGCGGCACCGGUGCCGGUCGGCGACGAUUUCUUCGGGCCUCUGUCCGACC